GACGAACGCUGGCGGCGUGCCUAACACAUGCAAGUCGAGCGAAUGAAGUUUCUUCGGGAACGGAUUUAGCGGCGGACGGGUGAGUAACACGUGGGCAACCUGCCUCAUAGAGGGGAAUAGCCUUCCGAAAGGGAGAUUAAUACCGCAUAAGAUUGUAGUACCGCAUGGUACAGCAAUUAAAGGAGCAAUCCGCUAUGGGAUGGGCCCGCGGCGCAUUAGCUAGUUGGUGAGGUAACGGCUCACCAAGGCGACGAUGCGUAGCCGACCUGAGGGGGUGAUCGGCAACAUUGGGACUGAGACACGGCCCAGACUCCUACGGGAGGCAGCAGUGGGGAAUAUUGCACAAUGGGGGAAACCCUGAUGCAGCAACGCCGCGUGAGUGAUGACGGCCUUCGGGUUGUAAAGCUCUGUCUUCAGGGACGAUAAUGACGGUACCUGAGGAGGAAGCCACGGCUAACUACGUGCCAGCCGCCGCUGUAAUAC
rnacentral:rRNA from 1 species